rnacentral:rRNA from 1 species
GUACGGGGGGGGCAAGCGUUGUUCGGAAUUACUGGGCGUAAAGGGCUCGUAGGCGGCCAACUAAGUCGGAUGUGAAAUCCCCAGGCUUAACCUGGGAACUGCAUCCGAUACUGGAUGGCUUGAAUCCGGGAGAGGGAUGCGGAAUUCCAGGUGUAGCGGUGAAAUGCGUAGAAUAUCUGGAGGAACACCGGUGGGCGAAGGCGGCGAUCCUA